rnacentral:lncRNA from 1 species
AACCAUCGACAUGUAUAUUAGUGUGUGUACAUGUGUGUGUGUGUAUAUAUAUAUACAUAUAUUUAUACGUACAUAGAUAUAAGGAAACCAACAUUAGAAUUAUAAGGGAGUGGAAAAUUUAGAUAUUUACUGGACAUAUUCGAUGUUGAUUCGUGUAGAAGGUGAGUGUGAGAUGGCUGCAAAAGCAUCGGUUGACAUGGCUAUGGUAGAAGGGCAAGGAGAUUGACGGCAAAGGUCGACCACCUUCACCUCCACAGUAGCACCACCCUUGCAGGGCAUAUUAAAUCCACUCAGGCACCUAAUUUUAUAGAGCCUUCCACACGCAGAACCACCGUCCCACAACCCUUCACUCACCGCCACAAAAAGGUACAUCGUGAAAAACUUUGUAUUCGAAACUGUUUUAUUAUUUCACUACACUACUUACAAUGGACAGCAGAGUUUAUAUUUAUAUACACUGUUACAGACACGCAUGCAAUAAACAAAUGCAAUGCAAGUGAUGUCCUUGCUGCCCACGAUGCAGCAAUCAGAACACAAGUGCAGAACCCAUGUGGUAGACAAGCUGUAAAGGAAUGUGUGUCCAUGUGCACCAUUCCUUUUGUCCAGGGUGUACAGCUAGUGGUUUAACAGUUAUGAUCCUUUCAGUUGCAGAUUGCAGCGGGAAGGUUUGGUGGUGCUGACGUGGACCGGUUGUUCAUUAGGGUUUCCGAACUAGGUUUAUCACGCCCCCGCAAGCUGACGGGGCGUUGACGAACAGGAAGCUUGGAGAUAAGAUAAUGAAAGCGGACAGAGGACAAACCCUUGGUUAAAAAAUCGGCAAUUUGAUCUGUGGUAGCUACAUAACCAACUUCUAUUUCCUUGCGAAUGACCUUGUCCCGGAUGUAGUGAUAAUCCACUUCAACAUGGCGCAUGCGAGCUUGAUAAACAGGAUUGGAAGCAACAGCAAUGGCGCUGAUAUUGUCACACCAGAGACGAGGUGGCUGUAAUGGAAGAUAUAAAUCACGGAAAAGAUUGCGAAACCAUGAGAGAUGAGCAGAAGUAUAGGCAAGUUGACGAUACUCUGCCUCUGUGCUAGACCGUGAUACUCCACGUUGCUUUUUCGAACUCCAGGAAAUUAAAUUAUUGCCAAGAAAUAUGCAGUGACCGCCAGUGGAACGACGGGUAUCAGGGUCGCCAGCGUAAUAAGCGUCAGCGAAGGCAGUGAGAGUGAGAGGACUGGGUUUGUAAAGUAAGCCGUGAUCAUGUGUGCCUUUCAAAUACCGUAAGAUGCGUUUGACUGCAGCCCAAUGCGCAGUAGUUGGAGAGUGCAUGAACUGACAUACUUGGUUGACAGCAUAAGCAAUAUCAGGACGUGUAAAUAGAAGGUAUUGAAGGGCGCCCACAACACUGCGAAAAGAAGAUCCAUCUGAGAGAGGCUCACCAUCAUAUAAACUCAAGCAUUUACCACUGGGAAUUGGCGUUGAGAUAGGCUUGGCAUCAGCCAUAUUAGUUUUCUGUAGAAGCUCCAAAAUAUACUUGGAUUAAGUGAGAUAGAAAGCAGAAGGCGUCCGGGAAACCUCCAUCGCCAAGAAGUAGUGUAAGGGCCCAAGAUCUUUCAUUGCAAAAUGAGUACCAAGCUGUGUGAUAAACUGAGACAAGUGAGCAUUGUUGUUCCCUGUGAUUAAAAUGUCAUCCACAUAGAUGAGAAGAUAAAUGAUUGUUGAGCCAUCAAAAUAGGUGAAGAGAGACGAGUCAGCUUGGGAAGCAGUGAAGCCCAAGUGUUCUAGUUUCUGGGAAAAACAUUGAAACCAAGCACGGGGUGCUUGUUUCAAACCAUAGAGAGACCGUCGAAGUCGACACACAUGAGAGGGAAACUGUGGAUCAACGAACCCUGCAGGUUGACGCAUAUAAACUUCCUCAUUCAACGUGCCAUGAAGGAAGGCAUUUUGAACAUCAAGUUGGCGGAUAGGCCACUGAAAGUGAAGAGCAAUAGAGAGAAUGAGCCGAAUGGUGGCAUGUGUGACCACCGGACUGAAGGUUUCGCAGAAAUCAAUGCCCUCUUGCUGAUGAAAGCCAUUGGCAACUAGGCGAGCUUUAAAACGCUCAAUGGAACCAUCAGAGUUUGUUUUGAUGCGAUACAGCCAUUUAUUUGGUAACACGUUCAUAGAUGACUUGUAGGGUACCAAAGUCCAAGUGCCAGUACACUGUAAGGUGUUGAAUUCAUCCGCCAUGGCUUGGCGCCAUUGUGGAGACUUAUUUGCCUGUGAGAAACAUGUGGGCUCAACCAAAGUAUUAGUAACAUUAGUGAUGCAAGCAUAUAUGGGAUUUGGUUUUCGAAUUCCUUGUUGACCACGCGUGAUCAUGGGAUGAGUGGAAGGAACAGUAUGUGAAGUGGUGUUGGCAGGUUCAAUAUUCACGUGAGGAGUGGAAGUUGAUGGGUGAGAAUGGGAGUCUGGGGUAGGUAGUGGUAGGGAUUGAGGGAGGGAGGUGGCGACAAUCGGUGUUGGAAGGGAAGGAAAGGUCAGUGGUUGGGUGUAAUGGAAGGUAUCAAUGUCGAGGACAUGGUCCAACGGACGAGGGUUUGACAAGGUCGGAGGAGCAAGUUCUUUAGAUGGAAAACUCUUUUCAUUGAAAACAACAUGACGAGACAGAAAAGACUUGCCAGUGGUAGGAUCAUAACAUUUAUAACCUUGAUAAUUUAAUGAGUAUCCUAAGAAAAUGCAUUGUUUUGAUCGAAACUUAAGUUUAGAAUCAGUAUAAGGACGUAAAUAGGGAAAACAAGCACAACCAAAUACUUUGAGAAAAUCAUACUGGGGUGAUUUUGAAAACAGUUUUUGGAAAGGAGAGACGCCAUUCAAGAUUUUGGUGGGAAGACAAUUAAUGAGAUAAUUUGCAGUUUGAAAAGCGUCAUCCCAAAAAGUGUGAGGGAGAGACGCAUGAGCAAGUAAAGUUAAGCCAAUUUCAACAAGAUGACGAUGUUUGCGUUCCGCGAGACCGUUUUGCUCAGGAUGAUGAGGACAACUGAGUCUAUGAUGAAUGCCAUGUUGAGAGAAAAAGUGUUUAAAAGAGGAAUUGACAAACUCUCAUCCACCAUCAGAUUGAAAAAAUUUAAUUUUGGUGUUGAACAUAUUUUCUGCAAGCUUUUUGAAAUUAACAAAGGUUUGAAAAACAUCAGACUUUAAUUUUAAAGGAUAGAGCCAUGCAUAACAAGAAAAAUCAUCCACAAAAACAACAUAAUACUUGUAACCAUUAAUUGAAUAAGAAGAAGAAAUCCAUACAUCUGAAUGUAUUAAUUCCAAAGGAAACGAUGACUGGGAAGAAGAUAAAUUAAAAGGCAACUUAUGACUUUUGCCAAGGGGACAUGAUGAACAAAAGUCGUAGGUUGCAUUACCAGUUAAAGGUAAUUUAUUUUGGGAAAUUAGACUACGCAAAACAGAACUUGCAGGGUGACCUAACCUAGAAUGCCAAAUAGCAUCUGACACUCUAACACCGACAAAUGCAUAGACUCCAUGGUUGACCACAGAAGAAUUGAAAAAUGGAUAAAAACCAUUUUUACUCCGGCCUUGCAAAAGCAUCUUCCCCGUUUGAAGGUCCUGAACACGGUAGGAAUUGGGAUAUAAGGUCAGUGAACAAUGGUUGUCUUUGGUAAAUUGAUUAAUGGAAAUAACAUUAGUAGAAGCAUUAGGGCAGUGAAGGGUGUGGGGAAGGGUAAAUGAGUGAUGGGGUAUGUGAAUAAAAGAAGUGCCAACAUGAGAAAUGUGCAAACCUGAUCCGUCCACCACGCCAUUAACAUUGUCAGUGCCAUUGUAAGGACGAGGAUUUGAAACUUGAUUCAAAUCAUUGGUGAUAUGUGCAUUGGCUCCAGAGUCAAAAAGCCAGUUGUGGAUGCCAGAGGGAGAGGCAGUUGCCGGAGACGGUGCAGUAGCAACAUAAGCUUGGAGACGUGGAGUAGGAACACGUCCUUCAUAGGCCAUAUUGAGGCGAUUGAAACAAUCGAUUGCAGAAUGGCCGUGACGACGACAUAUUUGGCAUUGGAUACGGCCACCAGAUUGGGUUGGAGAAGGAGGAGCACCAAAAACGCCAUCAUAAGGUUGUCGGUGUGGAGGAGCAUGGUGUUCCUGGCCUUGAGGACGAGGAGGAAACUGGCCACGGCCACUAUUGAAGUGACCACGGCCUCCGCAAGGAGCACCGCGACCACAGGAAGGUCCUGAACGACCUCUUCCAGCAGCAAGGGCAGUGAGCCCAUUUUCAAACACUGUAUGAAGCUUUUGAUGUCUCUCUGCACCAAGAAAAAGAGCCUCCAAGGCACUGUAAGUAAUGGCCUCAUCCCGUGCUUGUGCAGAAGCAACAGUACUCUCAUAAGCAGGCUCAACAUUAUUUAAAAUAAUUGCAACAAGAUCAGAGUCAGUCAUAGGAGAACCAGAGAGGGAGAGAGUGUCGGCAAGACAAUUAAUGCGAUCAAGAAACUCAGCAAUAGAGGAAUCACCACGAUGGGUAUUCAUAAGCUCACUACGCAAUUGGAGGAGAUGGCCAGUAGACUGAGAAGCAUACCUGUCACGUAAACAAGUCCAUGCAGAAAUAGAACUUGUCUUACCAAUAAGAGAGGCAAGAACUGUGGGAUGGACCGAACUGUUGAUCCAAGAGAGAACCAUAGCAUCUUGCUGAAUCCAUGCAUCAAAGUCAGGAUUGACUUUAUCAGUGAGUUGGCCAGCAUCAUCCUUCAAGAAGGCAUGAGGAUAUGGGUUGGUUCCAUCGACAAAAGACACCAGAUUCCUGCUACGAAGCAAGGGCAACAUCUGGGCAUGCCAUAGGGGAUAGUUGGUACGAUCCAACUUGAUAGUCAGAAAGUUGGAAGCAUUUGGAAGAGAGGGAAAAGCAAUGGGAUUUGAGGGACUUGAACUGGACACCAUGAGAGAAAAAAAAAUAAAGCUUUUGGUCGUUUAGACUGUCAGCUCUUAGAUACCAUGAAAAACUUUGUAUUCGAAACUGUUUUAUUAUUUCACUACACUACUUACAAUGGACAGCAGAGUUUAUAUUUAUAUACACUGUUACAGACACGCAUGCAAUAAACAAAUGCAAUGCAAGUGAUGUCCUUGCUGCCCACGAUGCAGCAAUCAGAACACAAGUGUAGAAUCCAUGUGGUAGACAAGCUGUAAAGGAAUGUGUGUCCAUGUGCACCAUUCCUUUUGUCCAGGGUGUACAGCUAGUGGUUUAACAGUUAUGAUCCUUUCAGUUGCAGAUUGCAGCGGGAAGGUUUGGUGGUGCUGACGUGGACCGGUUGUUCAUUAGGGUUUCCGAACUAGGUUUAUCACAUCGGAGGGAACUGGUCUGGCCUACUCCCAAAGCAUGUUCACUAGUACAAAAAAGACUUUGCGCGACGUAGGACCGUCGUCGCGCAAAGUCAAAAAUACGUCGCCCAAAAAUUAGCCAAACGUACCUUCGUCGCGCAAGAACCGUCGCGCGAAGGCAGUGAAAGAAGGGUUUGCGCGACGCAGUGCCUACUUGCGUCGCGCAAAGAUACUUUGCGCGACGAAGGUCCUACGUCGCGCAAAGAUACUUUGAGCGACGCAGGUCCUACGUCGCGCAAAGUAUCUUUGCGCGACGCUACUUUGAGCGACGUAGGACCUGCGUCGCUCAAAGUAGCUUUGCGCGACGUAGGUAGGCACCGCGUCGCGCAAACCUUUUUUUUUUUUUUGUCAUUUAUAUUUUUUUUAUUUAAUUUUUAAUAAAUAUUAUAAUUAAAUUCUAAACAAUAAUUAAUAAACCAAGAAAAAGUAAUUAAUUAUAGAAUAUAUGAAAAUGUACGUUUGUCCGAACAAAAAAAAUAAAAAACUGCAAGUCUUCUAAGUUUAAUACAUCAUGCUUCUCGGUAUCGUUUGGGCGAAAUGGUUGGGAAGUUGAAGGUGGAGCAACAUUAGGUGCUAGCAUCGUCGGGAUUUGGAGGCCGGACAUCGCUAAGGCCUGAACAAUCAUAUUCAUCCUCUCGUCCUGGGCCCUAAUAUGGUCGCCCUGGGCCGCAACCUGACCUCUUAGGGUUGUCACUUCCUCCUUCAAGGAAUUGACCUCUCCUGUGGACAAUCUGGAAGAAGAGGCACCCGUUUCACGAACCCCCGCCUUCCCCGUACACCGAACAACCUUACCAUGACGACGACCGAACUUCUGAUCUAGGACCUCAGUCACGAUCUGAACAUCUGCAUCCUUGGGUACACUGCCGUCCUCGAUCGGGGUCUCUGGAGGAAGCUGCGAUGUUGCUUCUUGGAGAAUAGCAGUGCUCUUUUCCACCAUAUCACCCUGUAAUAAUAAAGAAAAAACAUAUAAUGUUUAAUAACAAAAAUAUAAAUAAUAUUUGAACGAUUCAUAAAAAUAAGAAAAAUAACAAUUACAUAUACUUACAUAAAGCUGGUCACUGUUCUCAUUGUUGGGAUGAACGUAAACAUACUUGAACAGGUCAAUCUGUGGGAACUUAGAACCCUCCUACAGAAAAAAAAAACAUUAAAAAAAAUUUAUUAAUCAAUAAUAAAAAAAUAAAUUGUAUAAAAUUUCAAAAUUAAUAUACUUUUACCUCACGUCGUGCCUCAACCCUAUACGAAAAGGGCUUCGAACCGGAAUGGUGGAGAAGUGUCUUUGAGUCCCGAGCUUUCUUGCCAGCAAUAGCUUUGUUCUGUUAAACAUACAAUAUAUAUGUUAGUGCGACUAUUUGAAAGAAAUUAUUAAAAAAAGCUUAAAUAAAAUAACAAAAACAAUAAAUUAUUAUUAAAGUAUUAUGUACAUACCAGAAAUUUUGGAUCCGUAAAAUGUGUGCAGAGCCACUCCCAAUCCUCUCGCCGCUCCUUAUACUCGAGUGGGCAACCCUGUAGGCGAGCAAAAGCUAAUAAAUAGUGUUCUUGAUACUUACUCACUGCUUAGCAACAGCACAACUAAUAAAAAGGUUCAGCACGAUAAUACUAUCGGGAGAUGAACUCCAAACAGGAUACAAGGACACAUACAGAACACAACCUACAACCCUAGUGAAAAUAGGGUUUAAUCAAAGUGACAAACCUCAUCCACAUACAGAACACAACCUACAACCCUAGUGAAAAUAGGAUCGUUUAUCGAUUCAUAACCAACUCCGUUGACCGAUUCUCAACUUGUUUGCAGCACAAAUCAAGUUCUUCAACAUCGAAACCAUUUUCUUCAAAUAAGCUCAUCAAUAACUCAUUAGAAAAGUAAAAAGCGUGCUGGAAAAUAAAAAGGGAUUACAACCAAGCUUGUCAACCAAGAAAAAAGUAAAAAGUAGCUCAAUGUACGAGCGCGUGCUAGUAAAACUUUCAGUGCCAUCACCCCUGACAUAAAAGAUUUCACUUAUCUUUUGGUCCUUGCAAUUCAAUCUUUCCUGUCAAUUACCAUUACAUUAACAAAGAAGUAAACUUCAAUAUCUUGUAACCAUCUUUCAAAGGAGGAACAAAUCAAUCUAUAAUAAGGAUGAACUUCAAAAUACACACACAUAUAUAUGAACCUGAGCAAGGUCACCAGUAGCAGAGUCACGAAACAGCACACAAAGGUUUCUUCGCAACAUAAUAAAUUGAAAUGGCAGGCAUUUCAUCAUAAUUAAGCUCAUCUAAAUAUUAAAUCCAAAUAUGAACCUCAACAAAGGUUUCUUCGCAACAUAAUUUGGACUUCAAACACAAGAUGAUGGCUGCAAGGAAUAACUCUACACACCCACUUCACACUCUUUCACUGAGUCAUGAGUACACUUAUGAACACAUAAUUUUUUUCAUUUUUUUUCUUCUGUUUUAACAGAUUAAUAUUGAGAGGACAAAAUGGAUUGGAAUACAGAAGGACAAAAGCUAAUAAAUAGUGUUCUUGAUACUUACUUACUGCUUAGCAACAGCACAACUAAUAAAAAGGUUCAGCACGAUAAUACUAUCGGGAUCUCCUCAAUGACAACCCCGUUAGCGACUCCAAAACUCAGUGCAGAAACUUAAUAAUUUGUACGACAAGAUUUGUAGCCCAGGACACUAGCCAAGGUGUGUGUUCAUGUUUAAGUUUGGUAAGCUGAAUGACAACUGAUGGUUUACCAGGAAUCACUAAAGGGGGUGAACAAUAAACAAUCCCGGUAUUCUGCUUCCAACAAUUUUUCUACAUAAUCCCCCGUGUUUCAUUUCAAUCUACCAAACCAUCUACUCAGAAUAUCACCGCGAUACGAACAAGGCCAUACUAUUGACUCGCAUUUUACCAUGAAAUCAAAUCAAUAUCAAUUCACUAUCACCGACUAUAGAGAAAACGAUUAUAAAUACCCCAAAGAAAACUAGUUAAGCAAAAACCCAUCACAACCUCGUAUGCAUCUCCAACUAAAAGAAAACUAGUUAAGCAAAAACCCAUCACAACCUCGUAUGCAUCUCAAACUAAUGUAUUACAGAAUUAGAGAAAUUUGGUAACAGAUAAAUUUGUGGCAAAAACCCUAAAUAACAAAAACCCAUCGAAAAUCAGAAACCCUUACCUUGAUUUUGGGACUUGAUUCGCGUCGGCUUCGAGAUUCCCCUGGUGGCCUGUUGUUUGGGUUCAAGGUCUGGGUUCGACAACCCAAGAGGAAAGACAGGAUUUGGGGUCAACGGGGAAAGAAAUAGGGAAAGAAAGAGAGGGGGAUUUGGGGUCUAAGAGGAAAAAAAAAAGGGAGGGUUCAAGAUCUGGGAUCUACGGGGAUAAUUGAAAAAAGAAAGCCCAUUUUUCACUGUUGUACUGCCAAAUUUAUCACAACUCGCGCGACGUAGUUAUACAAUUUGACGUCGCCCAAAGUGGUUUUGCGCGACGUACACAUAAAGGGGUCGCGCAAAGUAUUUUUUCAAAAAACAAAAUUAUUAUAAAAAUUACUGAAAAUAUGAUUUUCCUCCUUUCAAAAUUAAUUUUUUUUUUUAAAUAAACCACACAAAAAUAUAUUUUGCUAACAAAAACCCACAAUAAUUAUAUAUAUAUAUAUAUAUAUAUCAUUCAAUUUCUUAAGUGUUAUAAGUACAAAAUAAAUAAAUUAAAAUCUACUUUGUAAAUAUAUAUACCAUUGAACUUGAUGGGAUACGCAUUGUACGAAACUAGUUUCAAUGAUCUAACCGUCAAACUUGUUUGUAUAUGCUUCGAGAUCGCAUACACCAAAAAUUGCAAAAAAACAAACAUAUAGAGAUUAAGUAACGGGACAAAACAUUUCAACGGAUAUAAACGAAAAAUCACGAUUUAACGGUUAAUUUAACUCCGAUUUUGAUGAAUUUUUACAGCCACACUCUUUAACCCUAUAUCAAUACAAUCAACUAAUUUGAUCGUCAAUUUAAAACAUUGACACAAGUGGAUACCACAAAAUCUUAUGUUAUACUUAAUGAAAGUAAAAUAAACUUCAAGUGUUAGUGAAUCUAAUGUUUUGAUGGGAUACGCAUUGUACGAAACUAGUUUCAACGAUCCAACCGUCAAACUUGUUUGUAUAUGCUUCGAGAUCGUAUAUGCCAAAAAUCGAAAAAAAAUAAAAUUCAGAGAUCAAGUAAUGGGACAAAACAUUUCAACAGAUAUAAACGAAAAAUCACUAUUUAACGGUUAUUUUAACUCCGAUCUUGAUGAUUUUUUAUAGCUACGCUCUUUAACCUUAUAUGCAUACAAUCAACCAAUCCGAUCGUAAUUUGAAACAUUGACACAAGUGGAUACCAUAAAAUCUUAUGUUAUACUUAAUGAAAGUAAAAUAAACUUCAAGUGUUAGUGAAUCUAAUGUUUUGAUGGGAUACGCAUUGUACGAAACUAGUUUCAACGAUCCAACCGUCAAACUUGUUUGUAUAUGCUUCGAGAUCGUAUACGCCAAAAAUCGUAAAAAAAAAUUCAAAGAUCAAGUAAUGGGACAAAACAUUUCAACGGAUAUAAACGAAAAAUCACGAUUUAACGGUUAUUUUAACUCCGAUCUUGAUGAUUUUUUAUAGCUACGCUCUUUAACCUUAUAUGCAUACAAUCAACCAAUCCGAUCGUAAUUUGAAACAUUGACACAAGUGGAUACCAUAAAAUCUUAUGUUAUACUUAAUGAAAGUAUAAAUAAACUUCAAGUGUCAGUGAAUCUAAUGUUUUGAUGGGAUACGCAUUGUACGAAACUAGUUUCAACGAUCAAACCGUCAAACUUGUUUGUAUAUGCUUCGAGAUCGUAUACGCCAAAAAUUGUAAAAAAAAAAACAUUCAGAGAUCAAGUAAUGGGACAAAACAUUUCAACGGAUAUAAACGAAAAAUCACGAUUUAACGGUUAUUUUAACUCCGAUUUUGAUGAUUUUUUACAACUACGCUCUUUUACCCUAUAUGAAUACAAUCAACCAAUCCGAUCGUCAAUUUAAAACAUUGACACAAGUGGAUACCACAAAUCUUAUGUUAUACUUGAUGAAAGUAUAAAUAAACUUCAAGUGUUAGUGAAUCUAAUGUUUUGAUGGGAUACGCAUUGUACGAAACUAGUUUCAACGAUCCAACCGUCAAACUUGUUUGUAUAUGCUUCGAGAUCGUAUAUGCCAAAAAUCGAAAAAAAAUAAAAUUCAGAGAUCAAGUAAUGGGACAAAACAUUUCAACAGAUAUAAACGAAAAAUCACUAUUUAACGGUUAUUUUAACUCCGAUCUUGAUGAUUUUUUAUAGCUACGCUCUUUAACCUUAUAUGCAUACAAUCAACCAAUCCGAUCGUCAAUUUGAAACAUUGACACAAGUGGACACCACAAAAUCUUAUGUUAUACUUAAUGAAAGUAUAAAUAAACUUCAAGUGUUAGUGAAUCUAAUGUUUUGAUGGGAUACGCAUUGUACGAAACUAGUUUCAACGAUCAAACCGUCAAACUUGUUUGUAUAUGCUUCGAGAUCGUAUACGCCAAAAAUUGUAAAAAAAAAACAUUCAGAGAUCAAGUAACUAGAUAAAAUAUUUCGACGGCUAUAAACCAAAAAUCACGAUUUAACGGUUAAUUUAACCCCGAUUUUGAUGAUUUUUUACAACUACACUCUUUAACCCUAUAUGAAUACAAUGAACUAAUUUGAUCGUCAUUUUCAAAUAUUUACACAAGUGGAUACCACAAAAGAAAAAGGCAAUACAAGAACCCCAAAAGAAAAGCAAAAGGGGACAAAAAAAAUAAAAAACAAAAAGAAGACUUUGCGCGACGUAGGUACUCAUACGUCGCGCAAAGUCUUCUUUAUUUUUAAUUUUUUAAUUUUUUAUUAUAUGGAGAUUAAAUCUCUACCUUUCAUUUCUACCACUGACUCUCGCCUCCUUUCUUGACUUGUCCAGGAUCCAUCAUUCUCUCUUAAGAUGGAUCCAUCCUUUCUUAAGAUGGGACUCUCGCCUGCCACCGCUUCCUCAGCGCCUACUCCACCGCGCACUCCUCCUCUCGUUGAAGCUACGGUGGUCUUCAUCGGCGCUACCACUACGGUGCCACGACUCGAUCCCAACUAUCAGGUCAACUCGCCCGUUCGACGACGACGGUUACCUGGGCUACGACCCCCGACUCUUCUCCCAGCGAUUCGAAUCCUUCGUCGACUCCGAGUCGCUCAAGGACUCCGCCACUGAUUCCCCAAUAUUCCACGGCUCCGCCGCAGACGACGCUUUCGAAGAGAGAGAUGGGCGAUGGAGGUAGCUGCUACAACUGGAUAUGUAGUUUCUGCCUCCCAAACUGAUCAAAUGAAAGAAAAAAAGUUGUUGACUUUGCGCGACGCAUGCCCACCUACGUCGCGCAAAACAACUUUGCGCGACGUAGGUGGGCAUGCGUCGCGCAAAGUUGGGAAAAAGCGGUAAAUUCUUUUGGUUUGGCGCCAAAAUUUUGCGCGACGAAGGACAGCGUCGCGCAAAAUUACGUCGCGCAAACGUGUUUUUGUACUAGUGGUUGUUGCUACACAACAAUUACAAUAAUGGCAUAAGAAAAGCUAAUUGUCAUUGACAUGAUCCAAUUAAUUCUCAAUGCCCCUGCAACUAACUAGACAUAAAUUACUCACUUAAAACCAUUUAAACCCCCUAAUUGUGAUAAGGCAAUCACAAGAAUACAGUAAUCAUUGCGUUGAGAUGAAUAAGUUGUUUACUUACACAUAUAAGGAGGACCGUAAGAAGUUGCUGUGCCGAGAUCGCCAGAAACUAGCCUUGAUUCUGUGCAAAAAAAGCCUAAAACGAUCAACAUGAAUAAGAGUCCCAUGUUCAUGGAGCCUGCCCAGGAUGUUGUGAAAGGAGCGGCCACAGUUUUAAUGGGUCCUUUGAUUUUGAGGGUUUGGGAGCUAUGAAUGAAAAAAAGAGGCGGGGGGCAUCCCAUUCAUCGCAUAAUUGUUUGUGGGAUGACACAACCCAUGACACAACUGGAGUCUAAUUCUACAGAACCCAUGACACUACACAAUCCAAAAUUAACAGAUUACAGUGACAACAUUCCAACAAAAGAAAGAAGACCAAAAAAACUAUCUAUUCUAAAGUAAUUUAGUUCCAUCAUGCAUAAAUCAAGGCAGUCACGUAAGGCUAGUAUCUAUAGUAAUCCCUCACACAGUGCAGCCCCCUAGCAAUCUAACAAAGAAAGAUUUAUGUCAAAAGAGAAAAAGAAAAUGAGCUUUAAAUGCGAGAUGUUUGGUGUGGUUUUCGUUUUCUCUUCUUCUCUUACAAACUAAGCUUACACCUAUCCAUCCAUCCUCCCAUUAUGUAUAAAUCCAUACGCAAACACAUAUUUAUAUACACAGACAACAUUGAGUUCAAUCCAAAUCUAUAGUCCUAACAAUAUACUUAACACACAAAAAAAACUACAUUCAACUUAAUAAUUUCACAAAGCUUAUAAUUCACAAAAAACAAAAGAAAAACACUAACAAUUUCAACCCUAUAAUUUCACUAACCUUGUGGCUCAUAAGAAGUCUUUUACUGCAAGAAAAAAAAAAGAGUGAGCAACAAUUAAAACACAAAUUUUCAAACAAACAAAAAAACCUACAUUCAACUCAAUAAUUUCACGAACACCAAAAAUUACAGAAAGUAAAGGCAACGGCAGUACCUCUCGGGGUUGGGAGGAGGGAGUUCGCCAUAGGCGGGGGCGAAGAGAUCGAGAGAUCGUUUGAGGAGUUUGAGACUGAGCUUCAUCCAUUAACAAUAUACCUAGAAUUCCCCAAGUUUUCAAAUGGAAAUUAAACAUUUACAUGCUUAUAUAAAAAGCCAAAAUAUAAAAAAUUAAUCAAAAGGUUGAGAGAACUCACAUCCCAAUCAUGCUCAUUACUGAUAUUAACAGCCAUUGACAGCAGCCCUUGAUUUGUGGAAUUCCCACGCCCAACUCCAUGAGCUCUGUCUCUGCCAUCCCUCUUUCCCUCACAACCAUACCCAUUUUGGACCCACCCCUCAAUCCCGACACCAACCCUUGAUUUGAGGAGGAAAAAUCAAUCCAACACUCUUUUUGGCAAGCCUCACUCCUCCCUCUCCCUUCCCCUCCCUGCCAAUCCACGCCCAUCUCCCUCGUUGUAGCUCUGCAACCCACGUUUUUUAGCACCAUCUCCCUUCCUCUACAUGGCAUUCCACACCCUCCUCCCCCAUUCCAUAAACCCAGCCCAAGCCUUACCCCAACUCCGGCCCCCUCACUUUCUCGAAACCAACUCUCAAACCCUAGAACGCAGCACUCUCACUCUCUCGCAACCCACUUUGAGUGACACGGAUGCAACAACCCUCAUCCUCUCUACCGUCGUCGCCUAACCCCAAAAUCGCGCGCUCUCUCUCUCUCUCUCUCUCUCUCUCUCUCUCUCUCUCUCUCUCUCUCUCUCUCUCUCUCUUUCUCUUCCCAAAUCGAGCAUCAUCACUCAAUCCCCUCUCUUUCUUUCCCUCGAAUCGUACACCACCUGUGACUCUGUCUGUCUACAAGCCGCAUGCCUUCCUCUCACCAAAUCCCUAUCUAUCUCGCUUCUCUCCUGCUCCCUCACUCUCUCUCUCUCCCGACAGCAUGGUCUCACCGAGUCCCACUGCAGCUUCGGAAAGGAAAUGAAAGUCUCUAACCCACCCAAUCCGUUCGAAACCCUACAGACUAAAAUGGCCAUUGCACCCCUGCCUUUCCACGAUUAUCAACACGCGGCAUGAAGAUUAGCGGCAGAGAGAGUCAAUGGCAGCCUCGUAAAUAAAGUGAAAUUCAGCCCAAAUCACUGUUCAUUUUUACAGUGCCAAUUCCAAUGCUUUCUUUAGACUAAAAUAAUAAGAGAUUAAAUAGUCUUUUUAAACCUCUUUUGAUUGACAAAAAAAAUUCUAUUCAUAUGUAAUUUAGAUAAAAACAAGUUCCAACACUUUGCCCAGAGAGAGAUAGGGAGAGAGAGCAUGAAUAGCGCACUUCUCUUCACGUACUUACCCUAAAAAUUUACACUUUUAGCCGCUUAUUUGGUGUACUAGUUUAAUGGUUCACCACAUGUUUGAUGAAAGUCCUCGCCGGCAUUUCGGGGUUUAUAAUUAUAUGAACGUAUCACCAAUGCGAUGGGGGAUGAGAAUACAACAUGCUAGAUCAGUCCUGGCCCCUGAACUCUUCCAAGAACAGUCCUGGCUCCUGAAGCUACUGUGGUAAAUCCGGAAGACAUGCCACCAUUGCCACCUUUACCACCAAUGCGAUGGAGGAUGGGAACACAACAUGCUGCCCUUUGUCCACAGAGAGAAUUGGUUGGAGUUGGUCAGGAUUCUUGGCUGCCAAUACAGCCUUCGGAAUCUGUUGAGAAAGCUCAAUUUGAUAUGCUAGCACCACAGGACCUGGUAUUAGGACAUGUCUAGACAAUAUUCCAAACUCCAGAGUAUUGCUUCUCAGUUAGUGCAGACUCCAAACUAGCCCAAGACUUACAACCAACCGUGAAGAGAAAGAAUGGAACUCAAUGAAGAUGAAUCAACUUUCACUAACAAGGAAAUAAGCUUACAAGUUGCAACUUUCAUUUUAACAGAUUUCAGUGCCAACAAGGCAACAGUAAAGAUUAAACAUAUGAAAAAACAUCCUAUUUAAAUUAUUGAAUAAUAGUAAAAAGGUCCAAAUUAUCGACCAUUAUUAUGUAUACAGUUGAAAGUCUGAGAGCUACGUUUUAAGAUUUAGAAGCAGGCCGUCGGACAGAGUUCUUUGACUAAUAUCCUCAGCUGUAUGUGAUCAGCACAUAUCUGGUUCAGCUGAUUUCAUAUCCUGCACUUAUCAAACCAUCGACAUGUAUAUUAGUGUGUGUGUGUGUGUGUAUACAUAUACGUACAACAGUAGAAAGAGAGUGGAAAAUUCAGAUAGAUAUUUACUGGGCAUAUUCGAUGUUAAUUGGUGCAGAAGAAUUGUGAGAGAUGGCUGCAAAAGCAUCGGUUGACAUGGCUAUGGUAGAAGGGCAUGGAGAUUGACGGCAAAAAUCCACCACCUUCGCCUCCACGGUAGCACGACCCUUGCAGGGCAUAUUAGGUCCACUCAGGCACCUAAUUUUAUAGAUCCGUCCGCACGCAGACCCACCGUCCCACAACCCUUCACUCACCGCCAAAAAAAGGUACAUCGGAGGGAACUGGUCUGGCCUAGUCCCAAAGCAUCUUGUUGCUGCUCAACAAUUACAAUAAUGGCAAAAGAAAAGGUAAUUGUCAUUGAUAUGAUCCAAUUAAUUCUCAAUACCCUAUUCAACCUGCAACUAACAAGACAUGAAUUACUCACUGAAAACCAUUUAAACCCCCUAAUUGUGAUUAAGGCAAUCACAACAAUACAGUAAUCAUUGCGUUGAGAUGAAUAAGUUGUUGACUCACGAAUAUAAGGAGGACUGUAUGGAGUUGCAGUCCCGAGAUCGCCAGAAACUAGCCUUAAUUCUGUGCAAAAAAAGCUUAAAACCAUUAACAUGAAUAAGAGUUCCAUGCUGAAGAUGUGGUCAAAGGAGCGCCCACCCAUUAUUUAACGAGGGUUUUGGGAGCUGUGAAUGAAAAAAGAGGCGGUGCAACUAGAGGCUCAAGAGAGACGAGGCCCCAGUAUGGGGCACGUGGAAAUUUGAUUGCUAAGAUGGUGACCACUCACAACAACGAAAGAGAUUGACAUGAGUCAAAGUUAAUGGCUGGACAAUAUAUGAAAAUUCAUUUAUUCAACAAGACGCAUCCAAAUAUGAUCAUUAGAGACCUUACCUUGGCCGUAAUCGGAGAUAAAAUUGCCAGAAGAGUCGGUCCAUUUAAAAGCUUCUAGAACUCGGUUAUUAUUAUUAUUACUACUAUUUUGCUACAAUUGGACAAAUUCAAAUGAUGAACCUCUCCCUAUUCUAAUCCACCAACUUACCCUACCACGACUAAUCCACCAACUAACCCUACCACGACACCAAGGACGGAUCUGUAUAGGGCCUAGGGGGGGGCAUCCGCCCCCACCCAAAUUUUUGUGUGCGUGCAUGUGUGUUCUUUUGCAUUCCAAUUCCCAAGCCCUAAUUAAACUACAAAUGAAAAAAUGGAUUGCAUUUCAAUUCCAACGUAAAAAAAAAUGGUUCAAUGGAAAAAAUACAAGGUGUAUCCGUUAGUUUACAUGCUUGUGACAUUAGCACUAACUCUUCCAGUUGCUACUGCCACCGUUGAAAGAAUAUUUUCAGCCAUGAAAAUUUUGAAGAAUCGAUUGAGAAAUCGAAUGAUAAAUCAAUAGAUGAAUAAUGUCAUGAUUAUUUUUAUAAAGAGAGAUAUUUGAUGGUAUUAGUAAUGAUGUUGUCAUGCAUCGCUUUCAAAACAUGAAAACACGUCAAGGAAUAUUGUAUAAAAAACUUUAUGAAUUAAUAUAUAGAGAACUUUAACGAAAAGCUCACGGUACUGUUCACUUUAACGAAUAAGUGUUUGUACAGUAAAUUCUAAAGUUUUUUAAUGUACCUUGUUGUUUGAGUAAAUAGUCCAAGGGUUCAACUUUUUCUUAAUUUGUGUUGUUUUUUACCCUUGCACGUGAAAGGAGAUUUAGCGGCUGAGUUGCCCAUAAAUAUUAGGAAAAAUUGCACCAACAAAAUCUUGUACUCAGGUUAAAAAGAUUUACAUAAUUCAACGACCAGACUUCGAAGUGUUUCAGUGUAUUUAUCUUCUCCCAAUUUUCAUCUACUAUAUUGUGACAAAUAUGAGCACAUUGUGAGUUUCUCUUCCCCACGUUCGUUUCUUGUUCAUUCCAUAAUUAUAUGAUCUCUCAUAUACAUGGGUGGAUGGGUAUAAAUUGCUCUGGGUCCGACUGUGAGAGAUGAAUUAUGACCAUCCAAAAUAAUAAUAUAAUAAUAAUUACAGGUAGGGAAUAUGCCGUAAUUGUGACAUUUUGUAAAUAUGUUUGAUACAAAAGCUCCCCCAUGUGCUCUUCUAGUGGAUAGGGUGUCAGCAAAAUUUUAUAAAAAAAAUGAUAUAAAAAGCUUCUUCUCACUUAACAUAAUAUUAUUGGCCCGAUGCGUUAUGUGAAAAUAUUUAUGUGCAAUGUUCGUUGCUCUUCAAGACAAGGCAACAUUUUAUGACUGUCACGCUAUUACAUAAUACUAUUAAUCAAUUUAUGUAACAUCCCACAUCGUUCAAAUGAGUGGAUCAUCUAAGCCUUAUAUGUAUAUUCUCAUCUCUACCUAGCAUGAGGCCUUUUGGGAGCUCACUGGCUUCGAAUUCCAUUAGAACUCCGAAGUUAAGCGAGUUCGCGCGAAAGCAAUCCUAUGAUGGGUGACCCACUAAGAAGUUCUCGUGUGAGUUCUCAUAAACAAAACCGUGAGGGCGGUCAAUGCUCAAAGCGGACAAUAUCGUGCUACGGUGGAGUCGAACCCGGGAUGUGGUGGGGGUCCGAGCCAGGAUGUGACAAUUUACAUGUUAUAAUAUAAAUGAAUGAUUUACUCAUUUUUCAUAUACCCCAUUUGAUUACUAUUGCACUACAAUGAAAUUGAUACUUUUUGCUCAAGAUCUUGUGCUUUAUAAACCUUAUUAUGUCAAUUUAGGCCAUAGUACAAAAUCAAACAAAUAUAUAAUUUGCUGCCGCAAUUUUGAAGAGAGACUUGCAACCACAAAUCGGUAAGUAGGAAUAGCGUAAGCAACUGCUUUAAUAAGGACCUCACGUCCAGCAGGAGAGAGAGUUUGAUUUCCAUCCUUGAAUUUUUUUUGUUUUAUAAGAUGCUUAACAAAUGCCAAGGCCACCCAUUUCGACCGGCCCCAAAUGGAAGGGAGUCCAAGAUAUAUCCCCGGGUCAUUCGAUUCCGUCAUACGAAAAUUUUGGCAGAGGAUCUCUCUUAAAGGCGUUGGGGUAUUUUUAGAAAAAUAGAUGGUGAAUUUAUCUGGGUUUUACGAGUUGUCCGAAGCCAACGAAUUACUACAAUGUUUCUCUAUAUCAUUAUAAACUUGAGUUCUACAUAAACUACAAAGCCGCUAUACUUGAUAAUAUAUAUCCUCAGCUGUAUAUAUAUAUAUAUAUAUUAUAUGUAAGGUAAAUUACAUUUUAUUCCCUCACAUUUGAUUGUAAGUGCAAUUGAAACCUCAUACGUCAUUUUAAAAACAUUUCAAUCACAUACAUUUACUUGUUUUUAUUACAAUUCCAUAAUUCCGUUAAUUGAAUUGUUAAUUUGAUCGUUAAAUGAUGUAAUGACAACUGUGGGUCUCAUGUUUGCCCGUCAAAUUUGUCCAUACAGAUAAAAAAAAAUUAUAAAAACCUUUUGUUUUUUAAAUAGGAUGCUUGUAAUAUCUCAACAUUAAUCUGUCUGUUGCAUUCGAUACUUACUCGUUCCUCAAACCACCCAACAAUUUCACGUGGAUCUCCCAUACAUUUCAAGCUGUAUUAUCAUCAUCACCGUCCAAAAUUCCACGUGUAGGCAUGCAUGGAAAUAGUCCUCCACCAAAUAUCUUGUCAAACUCCGUCCAUCAGACUCACAAUUAGACAAAGAUCAGUGAAUUAUUGUCAAGUUGAUAUGAACCUGUCCUUAUCCUAACCCACCAUCUUAACCUACCUCAACACUUUGACUAUCAACUUUUUCUUUAUUUGUGUUGUUUUUGACCCUUGCGUGUGAGUUGAAUCUUAUACUCUGGUUAAAAUGAUUUACAUAAUUCAACGACAAGACUUCAAAGUUCAAAGUGUUUCACAGUGUAAUUAUCUUCUCCCCUACCAUAUUGUGACUUAAUAUGAGCACAUUGUGACUUGUACGCAAAACCCCAUUUCGUUGGUUCCCUAGUUCACUACACUUGAACUGAUAUUGAAUUACUAAGAUGUAUUUAUUAUGUACUAAUUAUAAUUACUAAGAAAUGGGAUCAACCAUUUUAAUGAGAUACGCACCAUUCUUAUUCUUUUCACUAUCCUAAAAGUUUGAAAAAAAUUGAAACACUCUGUUGAAAAUUAGUGAAGGAUGAAAAAUUAUUUUAGAAUUUGCAGCCAUCUUGAACAGUGAAAAGGUACGGCGCUCAUGGGUCGAUUUGGGGAAAAAAUUACAAAAAUCAUAAUUGAUUCCUAGUCUUUAUGAACGAUCAAUAUUGCGUGAUCAGAAAGUUCUGCAUAAUUGAAUCCGGAGAAGAUCCUAAUCCUUUAUGGAAAUCUAGACAUAUAUAAAGAGAGAGAGAGACAGAGAAAGAGGAUGUGCAAUAUAAUAUUUACCAACCUCAACUGCUAAUUUUUUUUUUACUUCGACUGAGGAUACUAAGUUGAAAAAUUGUUGUUUAUAGAAUACACCCACGCAUAUUAGAAAAUAUUUCUUUACACCCACGCAUAUUAGAAAAUAUUUCUUAAAUCAUCCAUAUCAUUGUCACGGUUGAAAUCAAUUUGCAUGUCUCUAGUUGUCUAAGAGAAUUUGUUUAAUUCUCUUACUAUUGGGCUAAAAUAAGCUAUGGGAAGAAAAUUUAUCUUGUAGCUAAAUUAUAUCAUGAUGUAAGCUUGACUUAAAUUAUUAUAGAUCCACCAAGUUAUAUUUCAAACAAUUUUUUUUUUGUUUUUUUUCUUAUAAUCUAAUGGCUAUGACCAAAUGAGAUCAAAUCUAAUGGUAAAAAAAAAAAAAAAAAUUGAUUGUCCAAAAUUAAAUCUAACUCUAAAAUAAUUUAAAAAAAAUAUAUUUAAAUCAAAUUUAACUUAAAACUUUAUAAAUACCUAUGUAUUUGUAUGAUUUUUAAUUACUUAUCAAAAUUUAAAUAUUUUUAGAUUAAAAUGUUCAUAAAAAUAAAUUAGGAUAAUCUACAUAAAUUUUAUUUUUUAAAAAGUUACCAAAAAAAUUAGGCUAAAAUCAUUAUUUAAUAAUCUCGGACUAAAAUUUUAAGACCUAAGGGUUGGAGGAGAAAAAUAGUUUCUGGGUUAUGGCUUAGAGUUGGUUUGAGAUUGUGAUGCUAUAAAAAAACAACUUAUUAAAAAAUUUAGAAUAUUAAACAUGUUUGGUAAAAAUUAAAAAAAAUAUUUUUUUUUAAAACUGUUGUCAAUAAAAGUAGAAAAACAGAAGCGUCUAACAUGUUUUUAGAAAGAUUGUUUUUUUUUUUUCAAAGCAUAGUAACCAAUGUACAUAUAUCUUGCACAUGUUUUCAAACACAAAGUGUCAGUGUCUUAUAUCUCUGACCCACAGCCCAAAACAGAGAGAACCCCAACCUCAUGUUGGGACUUGGCUAAAACCUUAUUUUUAAGGUAACUUUAACGAAACUCUUCCGGUACUGUUCACUUUAACAAAAAACCACAUUUUUACACUAAAAAGUCAAUCCUGGUACUAUUCAUUUUACCCUUUAUUUUGUCUUUAUCAUUAAAACUCAAAGUUUUCAAGCCCUUUUUAUUAGUUUUUCUUAUUUUUAAACAUCCCAAUAGCGAUUAAUCUAAACAUAUUUGGUCUCCGUAACUUCGGAUAUUAUAUGGGUAAACAUCAGCGUUCUUGUAUGCUAUUUUGGAAGUGGUGUGCUAUCCACACACACCCCAAAUUACUUCUCACACACUCCUUGUUAAUUUAUGUCUGUUGAUCUUCUUCAAUUUAUCCGAUCCAACGGUUGAAAAUUUAUUGACAAUAUCAACUCAUAUGCGUGGGCCCCGCCGGUGUGUUUCCACACCAGAUGCUCUGCAAAAAAGACACAAUCUCGAAUUAGAAACACAUAAAGAAGAAACAUAUAGUAUACAUAUAUAGCAAGGGAAAGUAAAAAUAAUGAAAAGUUCAAUCAAAGGGAGUGGAGGAAACCCUUUUUUCUUACCCAAAGCAUUGAAGUAGCAGAAGCCAUUAUUUUGUUCUCUUUUUGCCCUCUUCCCGUGUCCCUUUCCUUUUUUACCUCUUUAAAAUGAUAACUGAUAAGAAAAAUAAAUAAAUAAAUAGAUCUCCGUACGUAUGACUUUUAUGCUUCUUUUCUUCCUCUUUCCCGACAACACAUUUCUUAUUCGGCAACUUUAUACUUUGAAAUUUUGGCUUUUUAUUUUUUUAAAUUUAAAUUUCUUCAUUUUAUAAUAUUCAAUUUUGUUUUUUGUUAGUCUACAAUGCCCAAUUGCCAAUGAUUCUAACUAUACUCUUGCCUUGCCUACAAUCUAUAACAAAAGAAAAGAAGAAAAAGAAAACUCUAGAAAAAAAAUCCUACUGAGCCAUGAAAUUUAUAUCUACCACAGCUCAAAAUUCAAAAUAUGAAAAUUAAUAUAUCGGCAAUGUUCAUUUUCAUCUAAUAAUUGCGUAUUCAAUUUAACGAAUCAGAACAGCAGAAAAUGAUCAUAUGUUUUCCUUGACAGGUAUCAAGGAAAACACGUCAGAGGGAAUCAAGCAGAUGGAUUCAUCAAGCGCGAUGAAAUUCCUUACCUGGGAAAUGUUUGGCUUGGUGAUGUCUACUUCCUUGACUUUGCACAUCCACAAACUAAAAAAUACUUGGCUACUUGUUCAUCAUCGUUCAAUCACUCUUGUUAAUUUUCCUUUUUUUAUGUUUCGUUUCGUUUCGGCUUUUCUUUAACAGCGUAGCACACAUAACCAAUCAAAUUGAUUCAUUAACUUAGAGCAUCUCCAAAGGAAAUGUCAAAAUGUCAAAAUCAGCAAUAACGAUAAUAAAAGAUAACAAUAAUGUCUUCCAAUCGAGAAGACAAAUCUGAUGUGGCAUGACAUGGAAAGACAUCUCUUCCCUUUUUUCUCUCUUACCAAAAAAAAAAUAUGUGAAAUGUAGAAAUUAGAUUACCAAACUUACCAUUUUGCUUUCUAAUGUCGAACAAAAGUGAAGUUCAUUUCCUCUAAUUUUUUUCGGGUGAAUAAAUUUAAUUUGUAGCUUCAAUCAUAUAUGAAGUAAAGAAUAAACAUGAUUGAUUCCUAAUAUUAAAAAUAUUUUUACCUAACCGAAAUGUUUUUCUUUUUUUUUUAGGCAAAAUUGCUUUUACCGAUUUUUUCCAACUGCCCAUUGGGCUUAUAGUAAGCUCAGAUGCAUUUUAUAUGGCCCAAACAGUGGUUCGUUUUAACGGUUUAAGGUCCAACAACGACUCCGUCGCAAGACCCACGGGCAGGAACCGUACGCGUAGCAAAUCUAACAGGUUCCGACAAUUGUACUUUGUAAUACGGUUAUUGUUGUUGCUCUUCAUUUUUAUGAGAAAGUUUUUAGAUUUGAUUCCUGCCAAAAGCGAACUUGAAACACAUUAUAGCAUCAUUAUGAAGGUAAGCUCACCCUCUUAGUAUGGACAAUAUCGUUUGUUAGAAAAACUAGUACAUGACCACAAAGUGUGUGAAAUUUUUUUUUUUUGUUUUUAAAAUUGAAUGAGAGAGGGAAAAAUGAGAGAGAACGUAGAACUGGAGAGAGGGAGAGAAGGUUAUUUUUUUUAUUUUUUUAUUUUUUAAUAAUUAGAGGUAUUAAAAUCAAUUGUAGAUGAGGCUUAAACAAAAAAAAGCAAAUUUUAUUUUGUGCAAUUAUGAUUUCACCCUUACCUUUUUUUGUUGUAAUAAGAGACUAAAUAGUCUUUACUCUCUUUUAAUUAACCAAAAAUUUUCUAUUCAUAUGUAGUUCGGAAGAUAGAACAAGUUUCAACACUUUGCCAUGCUGCGCACCACGUUUUGAAGGAAGAGAGAGAGAGCCUAAAAAUUUGCACUUUUAGCUGCUUAUUUGGUGUACUCGUUUAAUUGCUCACCACAUGUUUGAUGAAAGUCCUCGCCGGCAUUUAGGGGUUUAUGAUUAUAUGAACGUAUCACACGAACAAAGUAAAAAUUAAAGAAUAAAAUAUGAAGAAUAACUCCUCCCACCCCAUAACCCACUCCACUAAACUUGUUGCUUGAGAUGUCAAUGUAGCUGAAAACAGAAUCUUUACCAGCCCAUUUCCAGUCCUUUAUUGGGAACUAUUAUAGCAUCCUGAUAGUAUACCUGACUGAACUUUAGAACUUCAAAUUGUAUGUGAUUAAUUUUUUACUUGGUAUCAUCUUCGCCAGCCAUCAUUGCUUGCCAGGUUCUCAAGCAUCUUCCUGGUAAUUCACCACCAAAAUUGUUGCGAGCUAUGUCUUUGAAGCUUUGUCCAGGUACCACUGGUUUUGUGACAUCCAACGCGUCCAUAAAAAAGGUUGGAUCGAAAAACAAGAACACACAAGGAGGACAUCUGCUUCAACAAGCAAGGAUAGAUACAUGGUCUGAUAGAUCAACAGGAUGACUGGCAGGCACAUGGCUUAACAUAGCAGCGGGAUGCUCCACAGACACUUGCCUAACACCAGCAGCAGGAUGCUUCACGGACACAGGGUCUCAAAACCAUAUGGAGUCAAUCCAACCAGUUACCAUUUGCGGAGCACAUCAAACAGGAAGUAUGCUGGGAUGCUUCUCCGGAAUCUCAUCCUGAAUAUCUUCCAAGCCAAGCUUUAACAUCAGUUACCAUUAGGCCAGGAACUUGAAGUUAUGAAGCAAACACUGGAACCAUUAGAUUCUACCCUUCCUAGAUCAGUCCUGGUCCCUGAAGCUACUGUGGUCAAUCUGGAAGACAUGCCACCAUUGCCACCUUCACCACCAAUGCAAUGGAGGAUGGGAAUACAACAUGCUUCCCUUUUUUCCACAGAGAGAAUUGGUUGGAGUUGGUCAGGAUUCUUUGCUGCCAAUACAGCCAUCGGAAUCAGUUGAGAAAGCUCAAUUUGAUAUGCCAGCACCACAGGACCUGGUAGAUUACCAGAGAGUUGCAAGAAAGAUUUAGUUGACUAAGCCUACUGAACUUCCAAAUCCAGUUGGUUAUUUCACCAUGAAUCAGGUUUGCUGAAAGGUCCAAAGUGCUUAAUUUUGAUUGAUUUCUCAAGAAAUCAGGAAAUGUUCUCAACUUUCCAGAAGACAAUUUCAAUGUCGUAAGUUGAGGGAAGGAAGAAUAAGAGGAACUAGUAUUAGAAUAAGUAAUCAACAAGCUAUUGUAUGACAAAUCAAGACUCGAAAUUCACAAACCCAGGACCGUUCUGUUUUCAAAUUAAUUGUACGGAAGCUAUAAAUUUGAGACUAAGACAUGUCUAGACAAUAUAUUCCAAACUCCAAGAGUAUUGCUUCACAGUUAGUGCAGACACCAAAUUUACAACCAACAGUGAAGAGAAAGAACGGAACUCAGUGAAGAUGAAUCAACUUUCACUAACAAGGAAAUAAGCUUACAAGUUACAACACUCUCACCUAGAGCAUGAACAGUACAGCCAAAAGGAAAGAUGAAAAAACUAACUCAAAAGUAUAAGCAACAUCUAGUUAUCAAUGCAAUUGAAAACUAUGGUGUGGAAGGAAAACCGAAGCAUAAAACCACUUCAAGGAAUUAAUAUAAGUUGUUUGGUAUGUGGGAAGUCAUUCUGGAAAAACCACUUACAAUUUUAACAGAUUUCAGUACCAACAAGGCAACAAUAAAAGAUUAAACAUAUGAAAAAACAUCCUAUUUAAUACAGUUGAAGUAUGAGAUAAUACAGUUGAAAGUAUUAUCGACCAUUAUUAUAUAAUACAGUUGAAGGAUGAGAGCUAAGUUUUAAGAUUUAGAAGCGUUGGCCAUCGGAGAGAGUUCUUUGAGAAAUAUCCUCGGCUGUAUGUGAUCAGCAUAGAUCUGGUUCAGCUGAUUUCAUAUCCUGCACUUAUCAAACCAUCGACAUGUAUAUUAGUGUGUAUAUGUGUGUGUGUAUAUAUAUAUAUAUAUAUAUAUUUAUACGUAUAUAGAUAUAAGGAAACCAACAUUAGAAGUAUAAGAGAGUAGAAAGUUUGGAUAGGUAUUUACUGAAGAUAUUCGAUGUUGAUUUGUGUAGAAGAUGAGUUUGAGAUGGCUGCAAAAGCAUUGGUUGACAUGGCAAUGGUAGAAGGGCACGGAGAUUGACGGCAAAGGUCCACCACCUUCACCUCCACAGUAGCACCACCCUUGCAGGGCAUAUUACGUCCACUCAGGCACCUAAUUUUAUAGAGCCUUCCACACGCAGAACCACCGUCCCACAACCCUUCACUCACCGCCGCAAAAAGGUACAUCGGAGGGAACUGGUCUGGCCUACUCCCAAAGCAUGUUGUUGCUGCACAACAAUUACAAUAAUGGCAUAAGAAAAGCUAAUUGUCAUUGGCAUGAUCCAGUUAAUUCUCAAUGCCCCUG